rnacentral:rRNA from 1 species
UAAAUAAAUUAUAAAUCAACACUAAAAUAGUAAAUUUAUUAUUGAAACUUAAGUAAUUUGGCGGUAUUUUAGUUCAUUUAGAGGAAUCUGUUUAAUAAUUGAUAAUCCACGAAUAAAUUUACUUAAUUUAAAAUUUUAUAUAUCGUUGUUAAAAAAAUAUUUUAUAAAAAUAAUAAUAUUUAAAAAUUAAAAGUAAAAUUAGUUCAGAUCAAGAUGUAGAUUAUAAUUAAGAAUAUAAUGGAUUACAAUAAUAAUAAUUAGAUGAAUAUAAUUUUGGAAUAAAUUAUUGAAGGUGGAUUUAAAUGUAAUUUUAUUUAGUUUAUUAGAAUGAUUAUAAAUUAAGAUAUGUACAUAUUGCCCGUCACUUUCAUUUAAAAAUUGGAAUAAGUCGUAACAAAGUAGAGGUACUGGAAAGUGUUUCUAGAAAGA